AAGGCCGUGAUCUUCUUAUGGGAGCCGAGCGUGAUGUUCCGUGAUGGACAUGCACCCUUACGGAGCUGACGUGGAACUCAUUAAAGCCUUGGGCUACGCCAUGAAACUUCACUGUUCAGUACGUUCAACCUCCGGAAGGAGAGCGUUGGGGCGAAGUCCUGCCCGACGGCUCCCUGACGGGAUUGGUCGGGAUGGUCAACAGAGGCGAGGCGGAGAUGGCAGCCACCAACAUCUUCGUCUCGAUCAGUCGACUGAGCAUCAUCGACUUCAGCAAGGACUAUGAAUCGCAGAGCAGCUGUUUGCUGGUAAAAACAGAGCCACCUCUACCCAAAUGGCAGUCUCUGUUGCUCCCAUUCCAACUCUGGGUUUGGUUUGCCUUUCUCAUCGGUCUGCUGUUCUUUGGACCACUGUUAACCCUGCUGGCAAGAAGCAGCAUUCACUGCCCUAAGAGUGACAAGGCAUUCACCCGGCUCUCGUACAGUUGGCUGCAGACGUAUGGAAUGCACGUCGCCGCGGGAUCAGUGCGUGCUCCAGUGCAGACGAAGCAUUCAGGUAAGAGAAUGGCAAUAUUCCCUUUUGUGGUCAUAGCCUGGGUGGAAAUGGGGACUCAUUUGGCGUCCUCUCCCCCACCUCCCACCCACCACUUCAUUUUCGAAAGUAGGAACAAUCCAAUUAUGAAAUUAACAACAGUAAAGUGUAGAAAAAUAGCUAC